UCAGGUAAGACAAGGUGAUGCCAGGUGAGGUGAGACAAGGUGAUAUCAGGUGAGACAAAGUGAUGUCAGGUGAGGUGAGACAAGGUGAUGUCAGACGAGGUGAGACAAGGUG